ACUGGGCGUGGUGGUGCACACCUGUAAUCCCAGCAGCUUGGGAGGCUGAGGCAGGAGGACUGUGAGUUCAAAGCCAGCUUCAGCAGAAGGGAGGCACUAAGCAAUUCAGGGAGAUCCUGUCUCUA
rnacentral:sRNA from 1 species